rnacentral:piRNA from 1 species
UACCUUUAAAAGAUAAAAUUGUGAGAGGA